UACGUAGGGUGCGAGCGUUAAUCGGAAUAACUGGGCGUAAAGGGUGCGUAGGCGGAUAUAUAAGUUAGAUGUGAAAAGCCUGGGCUUAACCUUGGUCGUGCAUUUAAGACUGUAUGUCUAGAGUUUGUGAGAGGGGUGUAGAAUUCCAAGUGUAGCAGUGAAAUGCGUAGAGAUUUGGAGGAAUACCGAUGGCGAAGGCAGCGCCCUGGCAUAGAACUGACGCUGAGGCACGAAAGCGUGGGUAGCAAACAGG
rnacentral:rRNA from 1 species